rnacentral:rRNA from 1 species
UACGAAAGGAGCAAGUGUUAUUCAGAUUAACUGGGCGUAAAGGGCACGUAGGUGGUUUGUUAAGUUAGGGGUGAAAUCCCAGGGCUCAACCCUGGAACUGCCUUUAAUACUGGCAAUCUCGAGUCCGAGAGAGGUGAGUGGAAUUCCGAGUGUAGAGGUGAAAUUCGUAGAUAUUCGGAGGAACACCAGUGGCGAAGGCGGCUCACUGGCUCGGUACUGACGCUGAGGUGCGAAAGCGUGGGGAGCGAACAGG